GUGGAAAGGCCAGUGAAAUGGUGAGUAGUUCCUACAGGGCUUGUCUUUGGACUUCCAUUGCUGGGUGCUGUUACCUUAGUUUGGAUUGAGAGAGAGCCGCUGGUAUUGUGUGGCUUCCAAAAACCCUGGCAAAUAUCAGCCAUGUUCAUUCUCCACCAGGAAAUCAGUAUCAUAGUUUGAAACUAAAAAUUCAACCAAUUAUUUAUACUAAUUAGAGUCCUUAGAUGCCGAAUCACCUGCAGAAUGAAGUUGAAACUUUUUAGGAUGGUGUAAGAUACAUCACAAUUUGACCCAUUUCUAGUUUAUUGCCUUCCACCUCAACUCCUCCCACUUUAGGCUCCAAUGAUACAAAAUCUUUUACAUUUUCUAUUUGUUUCCACUUGGCCAAAAUUGAUUCCCCUUUCUUCUGGUAAGUUUUCCUAAUUCACCUAGUUUUCCUUUGGGUAGUUGAUCCAUUCAUCGCCCAUUUUAUGUGCUUUCCUGGAGAUUGUCAAUUGCAAUACCUUGCCUGCCAUCCACCAAGAUAAGUGUGGGACAUGAGUAGGCCACACGGUACAAUUUGAGGUGGGCAGAUGAAGGCCAGUGGAGGUUGUUUGUGAAAACUGGUACAUGGUUGUUGAGAAACAGAGAAUCUGUCUUUUUCCUAGCUCGUCAACCAUUAGGAUGUAGGCAUAGAAUUAUAAACCCUAAUUUCCACCAGCUGAAGUGAUUCUGCCUGAGAACAAAGUUAAAACACCAAGAGAAAAGCUGAGGAAGAGUGGAGAGGGAGUGGGGAAAAAUAAGAACCAAG
rnacentral:lncRNA from 10 species